UAAUAUCUUCUUCUUUUUUU
rnacentral:sRNA from 1 species